GACGAACGCUGGCGGCGUGCUUAACACAUGCAAGUCGAACGGAAAGGCCCUGCUUGCAGGGUACUCGAGUGGCGAACGGGUGAGUAACACGUGGGUGAUCUGCCCUGCACUUCGGGAUAAGCCUGGGAAACUGGGUCUAAUACCGGAUAGGAGCCAUUUUUAGUGUGAUGGUUGGAAAGUUUUUUCGGUGUAGGAUGAGCUCGCGGCCUAUCAGCUUGUUGGUGGGGUAAUGGCCUACCAAGGCGGCGACGGGUAGCCGGCCUGAGAGGGUGGACGGCCACAUUGGGACUGAGAUACGGCCCAGACUCCUACGGGAGGCAGCAGUGGGGAAUAUUGCACAAUGGGCGCAAGCCUGAUGCAGCGACGCCGCGUGGGGGAUGACGGCCUUCGGUUUGUAAACUCCUUUCGCUAGGGACGAAGCUUUUUGUGACGGUACCUAGAUAAGAAGCACCGGCUAACUACGUG
rnacentral:rRNA from 1 species